rnacentral:rRNA from 1 species
GAUGAACGCUGUCUACAGGCUUAACACAUGCAAGUCGAGGGGAAACGACGGGGAAGCUUGCUUCCCCGGGCGUCGACCGGCGCACGGGUGAGUAACGCGUAUCCAACCUGCCUCUGACUGAGGGAUAACCCGUCGAAAGUCGGCCUAAUACCUCAUGGCAUCGUCUGCGGGCAUCCAACGACGAUUAAAGAUUUCAUCGGUCAGGGAUGGGGAUGCGUCUGAUUAGCUUGUUGGCGGGGUAACGGCCCACCAAGGCUACGAUCAGUAGGGGUUCUGAGAGGAAGGUCCCCCACAUUGGAACUGAGACACGGUCCACACUCCUACGGGAGGCAGCAGUGAGGAAUAUUGGUCAAUGGGCGGGAGCCUGAACCAGCCAAGUAGCGUGCAGGAUGACGGCCCUAUGGGUUGUAAACUGCUUUUAUGCGGGGAUAAAGUGAGGGACGUGUCCUUCAUUGCAGGUACCGCAUGAAUAAGGACCGGCUAAUUCCGUG